rnacentral:lncRNA from 1 species
UCUUGCCCUUCCACCUAGUUUCCAUGUUAUGAUGCAGCAAGAAGGCCCUUGCCAGAUGUGGCUCCUGGAUUGUGGACUUUUCAGCCCCCAGAACUGUGAGCCAAACAAACUUCUUUUGUUCAUAACUUCCCCAGUCUGUGAUAUCCUGUUACAGCAGCAGAAAAUGGACUAAGACACCCAGGGAUGUACCUGGAACCUGGAAAAAGGGGCAGAUCUGCAUCACGGGCUUGCAUGUCCAAUUUCACCUUGGCACUUGCUUCUCCGAGGGUCUGGACAUGGGGCUUCGUUUGAGUCUGGAAGCAGUGGAGAGGGGCCAGAAGCUCCAGGCCUUGGCUUGGAGAUCUCUACAGGUGUGCAUGGAGAUGUUUGAAGUGCUAAUGGCUGAGACAGAGCAAGUGGCAGAGGCCUAGGAGACGGAGGCUGAAAGAGUCUGAGGAGGAAAGGAGGCACUGAGGGACUCACAUGAAGCUACUCUGUCAGCAUUCUAAAACUUCUGACAUUCUUUUCUAUGAAGAUAAUUGAAUCACCAAAUUUGAUGAAAUGUUCCCCAAAUAUCAGGUGAAAAAAACUCAUCUAAACCUUUGGACUUGGAAUUGCCCACAUAGACCACAUCAGCAAUGGAAGACAGAGCAAAUAACAUGUCGGUUCAAUGUAUGAAGGAGCUUUUCUUUCCCCUGCCCCAACCCUCAGACAGGUAAAUCUGUGAAAGCUCUAUUUUGAUUCUUUUUAAAUUAUUUGUUUUACAUGUUUUGUGUUUUAUGUUGGCUGAUUCCAAAUGGUUGAAAUAGUGGAGGUCCAACAACCAUUUUCACAGUGUAAUCUUCAGAAGUUCAUCCUUUGGGUUGUAAUUUCAUGAUAAGGAGGAGCAAGAAGAUGCUUUUUGUAACUCAAAUAGCAUCUUCUGAGAAAGGUCUCUAUUUUCACUUGUGUCUUAACUUACAACUGUGUUCAACUCUAUUUCCUUUCCUUGCUUUACAUUUUUUCUUAUGCACCUAUAAUUAUCCAAUUUACUAUAUAUUUUAUAUUUGUCUGUUAUUGUCUGUUUUCUCCACUAAAACAUAAACUUCUUGCAGGAUUUUUGUCUGUUUUUCUCACUGUUGAAUCCCAAAAGCAAAGAAGAAUACCUAGCAUAGAGUUAGUGUUCAAGAAACAUUUGCUAAAUGGAUGAACACCUCUUCAUUUUAUGAGAAAUGAAUCUUCCCCAAGAAGGGGCUCCCGGGUGCAUCUUGUGUGUAGACAUCUCUAUGUCCCCAGGCUGCUGUAGAGCUGAGUCAUCUUUGUGCCCACACCUGGGAAGCAGGACCCUUGUUCGUGUUUCUUUGGCCUUGGGCAUGUCAGUGAGUAAGGAGGAUGUGUGGGAUCUGUGUCCAUAUUUACGUAAGAAAGCAAUAUAGCCUACUGCCCCUUUCAUUUUCAGCAAGUGUGUGUUUACACUGGCCUGGGAUCUACUAUAAAGUUUAAUGUUUGGUUAUACAUUUAUUUCUCAGCUACUUUUGUGAAUAAACAUUUUCUAAAACAUAUCUAUUUUAAAAGUGACAAUGUUUGAAUGAAAGAAAGAGGAGGAGUGAAGCCUGGUAGUUAAUUUGCAGAACUUAGAGCCUGAAUUUUUUGGGUUGGAUCUUUGAUUUUACCAUUCAUUAGUUUUGUGAUCUUCCUCAAUUUCCCAAUCUGUAAAAUGGAAAUAAUAAUAGUACCUACCUCAUGGGAUGUCAAGAGUAAAUAUAAAAAAUGUGUGACACCCAGGAAUGACUAUAUAAGUACUAGCAGUUAAUAUUAUUUAUUAUUAUUAUUCCUGCUUGAAUAAUCACUUUGAGCUAAAUCACUUUGUUUUUACUACUAGCAAUAAGCAUGCUUAAAUACUUUUAAUGUUAUUAUAAUUUGUAUUAUAGUAGACUAAUCUGGAAUUUUAUUAAGCAGAAUUCCCUCUAGACAGGCAUCUAUGCAUACGGAGCAAAAAAUGAUGUAUAUAAUAAUAAGUUUGAGGCACUGAAAGAUCUUGAAUGAGCUUCUGAAUCAUCAGUUACUGUAUCUUUGGGGAACACCAGAGAAAGACUCUCCUUACCAUCCUCACUGCAACUAAACUUCGGGACCCUGGGCUUUGGGUUCAUGGUCUCGCCACUGAAAAGGUUCCCUCCACACUUUUGGAAUUGUGCACCCAUUGGAACCCUUGAGGUAAAGCUAACCAGAGAAAUUUCUCCCAAGAAGAAGAAGAUGGCAUCCUUGAAGUGAACAGCUUUUCCCAAGUUCACAGAGUAAGACUUCUACUAUCAUGAAACUCUUAUCUUUGAAUAUUUUUUCUUGCUUAUAUCUCUACUAACAAUAGAAGUGGAAAAAGGGUCUGUUAUGUGCACUUAUGGGGUAUACUUUUAUUUGUGAAGAAGUUUGCAGCCAGCCUUAUACAUGGAUAACCUUCUACUUUGAUAGAGAUGAAGGCCCAAUGCAGGUAAGAAACUUUAGUGGUACAUAUGUUGCCCCAUAAUCACUCAAAAACAAAAUAUUGGUUCAUCCCUCUUAACCCACAUCAUGGGUUAAAGAGAACAUUGCCAGGGGGUCUUCACUCUCCUAGAAGGGCAUCAUUUGUUAAGUCCUUUUUCCAUGGCUUAAAGUAAAGGAAGCAAUGAUUAGAAAUGUAUCCCUCAUGAUAGGCUCUAUAGCAAAUCUACUUUAAAGGCUAUCGUUACACAACAGAUUUUAAAUUCUCUUUGAAAGUUAUGCUAAAUAGAAUUGGCUAAACAAAGAAGUUCUUCUGCAGCUGCUGACACUUGCGGCCUAUGGAGAAACAGGUCAAAUGCAGAUUAUAAAAAUUCAGUGUAGGGGAUUAAUGAAAAGACCACUUAGUCAAGUGAGUAGACUCUUCAUCUAGCUCAUUCUUUAAACUAUUUAAGUGUAGGUGGUUUGGUUUCUAGGGACCCUGGUUAAGGAGCAUACUCUGAACUCUGGGUAUUUUCCUUCCAGUAGUGAUAAUAGUAGUCUCCUUGGUGCACUGUAUUCUCUCAAAGGUUUUAAAUGCUUGCAUGCAGCCAUCUCUAGAACAUCAAAUGGUCUCUCUUCGACUGGAAUGACAACAGCUGAAAGAAAUGUUCAACCAUGAGGACACCAUACCUAUAAAUGAUGUGCUGAGACUGGAAACCCAAAAUGUUGGUAACUGAGAAGUGGCACUAAGGCCCUAAGUUUUGGUUGCACACUCACCUAAGUGAGAACCUGACCAAAAAGGGGGGAUUUUUAAAACAAAACUCUGUGAGGCCAUUGUUUUGGACUAAGCUCAUGCACUCAUGCCCUGGGCCCCAACAGACUAAAGCAAACACAGAUGGAGUCAUUUGUGCUAAGACUUUAAGGAAACGCUUGGAUUCCACAACAGACUAGCUUUUGUUUUUUUCUUCUGCAAAUCUCUAUAACAAACAUUUCUGACAACAUAGGUAUCCACCCCCUGAAGUUCCCAUUAAAUCUUUUAACCAAAUUCAUUUCCUCUCACCUAGAGACCAUCAAGCUUCAGAUGAUGAUGCAACAAAGGUUUCAGCCAGUUCCAGGUGAAGACACCACCCUUGGACAUCAAGAAGCUACCCUGCCUCCACUAGAUAGAGCAGGGAGAGUUCUGUGAUCCCCAAUAGGGCCUUUGUAGACGCUAUCCCUUUGUGGAGAAGACUCUCAACACCCUUCAAAUACUAUGAUCUCAUCAGGAAGGCCCUCCCUGACCACCUAUGCCUGACUAGUACAGAAUGUGGCAUAAGGAUGAUCAAUCAGCAUUUGUUAGAUGGCUGCAUGAAUGAAAGAAUAAGGGAAUAAAGAAACUUGAAGCUUCUUGGAGAGAUAGCUCAUGUUUAUUCUGUCUUUACAGGCAAAAGAAUGUUUAUUUAACAAAUGAAUAAAUGAUCUUGUGUAAAAUCAUAAAGAUUACUCAAAGGGGGUAAGCAUCAACAGUAAAGAAUAAUGAUGAUGAAUGCUCUCUAAAUUUUAGAAGUGUUUCAAUUAUGGCAAUAAAAUUAAUAGUUUCUGGUUCCAGGGCAAACUAUGCCCAUACUUUUAAAAAUCAACCAACUGUGUCUUUCAACAAUGUCUAAGAAAGCUAAGAUUUUAUUUGGUCAACUGUUCACCAGGAUAAUUGAGGAAAGGAUGGAGGAGUGUGCUGGAAAUACUGAAAUACAUUCUUGUGAACAAGCUGGAGGGUUGUAACAAAUGUAUUCUGAAGGGCACAAUAAAAAUCAAGAGAGUUUACCAUAGUGAGACUAUGAAGCUCUGGCUGAAUAUGACCCAGAAUGCAUUUUUAAAAGAAUUUCUUAAACUCCAUGAUAAUUCCAUCCUUUGAAAAUCACAAAUCCUUUAUCAUCACAACCUAUGACACUGUGCUCAUCUGUGGAAAUAAAAAGGGUCAAGGAAAAUCCCCACUUCAUGAUCAUUGUAGGGGAAGCUUAUUAUAAUUCACUACAUUCAGGAAUAUCACAUACCAUAGGAUUGUUAGCUACUCCAUCUCAAUGCUAAACCAAACCAAACCAAAAUGAAACAAAAACAGCUUGAAAAAUUCAAUAGCAAAUCAGCACAGAAAAAGAAAAUGUUUACAUUUUUAUCAAAUGUUCAAUUUGACUACAAAGUGCUACUUUGGAGAUCUGGGCUACUCAAAGUAGCCACCUGGCUCCCUCAGUGGCAUGUUGGUUACAGGUCCCUGUGAGAUGAGGAAACUGCAAUAAAUACAGUGCUUCCUUCAUCAAGAAAGUCUUGCUACAAAAGAAGAAAAAGAAAGAAAGGAAAUA